rnacentral:rRNA from 1 species
UACGUAGGGGGCAAGCGUUGUCCGGAAUCAUUGGGCGUAAAGAGCGUGUAGGCGGCUUGGUAAGUCCGCUGUGAAAGUCCAGGGCUCAACCCUGGAAUGCCGGUGGAAACUGUCAAGCUUGAGUCCGGAAGAGGCGAGUGGAAUUCCUGGUGUAGCGGUGAAAUGCGCAGAUAUCAGGAAGAACACCCGUGGCGAAGGCGGCUCUCUGGACCAUAACUGACGCUGAGGCACGAAAGCGUGGGUAGCAAACAGG